rnacentral:rRNA from 1 species
UAAGACGAGGGAUCCUAGCGUUGCUCGGAAUCAUUGGGCGUAAAGCGGGUGUAGGGGGCUUGAUAAGUCAGAUGUGAAAGCCCAGGGCUUAACCCUGGAAGUGCAUUUGAUACUGUUAAGCUUGAGUGUCAGAGAGGUCACUGGAAUACCUGGUGUAGUGGUGAAAUACGUAGAUAUCAGGUGGAACACCGGAGGCGAAGGCGGGUGACUGGCUGAACACUGACCCUGAGACCCGAAAGCGUGGGGAUCAAACAGG